AAGUCGUAACAAGGUUUCCGUAGGUGAACCUGCGGAAGGAUCAUUAACACGUAUCCAACGUUAAACCCCCCGUGAACCUUCAGUGCGCUCGCACUUUCUUAGAAAAGGUAGCAAUCCCUGGUAAAUCAUUGCCGAACAGUUUUGAUUCAGGGACUUCUGCGUAGACUGUGCUUGAGCGUGAGGCAAGUGGCCUGGCAUUCCUCUGCUUGUUGGUGUCUGAAAGUGUCACCACGCCCAGUGACCCGGUCGCCGGCCGUGUCGGCCUCUAGCGAUCGUGACUGCGCCAUUCGUACAGAGCUGCGUCACCUUUGCAUGAAAACGGGCCUGCGCUUAAUUGUGCGGCCACCAAACUCGAACAACUGUUAACAAUGGAUAUCUUGGUUCUC
rnacentral:misc_RNA from 1 species